GGGCCCGUAGCUCACUUGGUAGAGCGCCGCCAUGGCAUGGCGGAGGCAGUCGGUUCGAUCCCGAUCGGGUCCACCA
rnacentral:tRNA from 1 species